rnacentral:lncRNA from 1 species
GAGGAAUGCAUGGUUAUGUCUGAUCUACUCUCUUGCAUUGUUAUUACGAGACAGCAGAGCCUUCCCAAAUCUGUAUGUGGCGACGGGCAGUACAGUCUACCUGACUAUGGACAAUGGUACCCAAUUAAACUUCCAUGAAUUCGACUGGUAUAUGAAAACUUUCAGAGUGGCCAAGUUGAGAAAUUCUACUGUUCACUAUUAUGGAAGGCAAGGUGAAAUCUUUUUGAAUGGGACUCUCAGACUGGACAAUGUUCGCAAAAAUGAUACUGGAGAGAUUACAGCUAAAUUGUUUGACAAAAAUGGAAAAAAUAUCCUCCAAAUCAAAUAUCAUCUCAUUGUUACAGAUCCAGUGUCUCAGCCUAUCAUAGAAUAUACCUGUUCACAAGGACAAUCGGAGUUUCACUGCUCUGUAGAGAGUGACAAUCCCUUGUAUUCAUGGAGUUUUAAUAACAAGCCAUUGCUUGGUGUUGGCAUUUUUCAUAAUGUUGAAAACCAUAAACUCAGUUUAAGGAAUUCUUCUGGCAGAGUCACUUGCACUGUUUCAAAUAAUGUCACCCAAAAUAAGAGUGAAACCCUUGUUUUUUCUUGUACAGAUUCAAUGCAGGUGACCGGAAGUGGCUGGUGUAUUGGAAUUAAAUUUUCAGCCAUUAUGCUUAUUUGCAUGAUAGCAUCUGCAUUUCACAUCUAUACUCGAAAACAGAAUAAGCAGAAUAUUUGAAGUCCAACUACAGUGACAUUGCCAGGAUAAGAAAACUCCAUUUCAGGAUGAUGUAAUGUGCUUUGGGUUUUUUAAUAGUUUUGUCAACCUUGUACAUAUUAUGGACAUAUCUGUGGUUAUGAAAUAAAACAAGCCUUUAAAUAAUAUAAUGUUGCCUUAUGUGAAAAUGAAAACACUCUUCGAUUUCUGAAACAGACUGGAGUUUUACUUAAAAGGAAAAUUAUAUCUUUUCUGUGUCUGGGAUGUAGUAAACAAUGAAGAAUAUGCACUUACUGUACAUGCCAAAAAUAUAUAGUGUAUGUUAACAAAAAGUUACUUGAGUCAAAACCUACUGUAAGUGAACUUAUAUCUCAAUAUCUCAAUAUCUCACCCAGUGUGGGUGUUUGCUGCAACUUCAACCAUGGACAAAACCAAUGUUUCCCAUUGGAACAUUUUGCCUUUUUUCUUGUGGAUAUUUGCUUUAUGA